GAUGAACGCUGGCGGCGUGCCUAAUACAUGCAAGUCGAACGAACGGACGCUAAGCUUGCUUCUCUGAUGUUAGCGGCGGACGUGUGAGUAACACGUGGAUAACCUACCUAUAAGACUGGGAUAACUUCGGGAAACCGGAGCUAAUACCGGAUAAUAUUUUGAACCGCGUGGUUCAAAAGUAAAAGACGGUCUUGCUGUCACUUAUAGAUGGAUCCGCGCUGCAUUAGCUAGUUGGUAAGGUAACGGCUUACUACGGCAACGAUGCAUAGCCGACCUGAGUGGCUGGUAGGCCGCCUUGGAAGUGAGCCAGCGUCCAGAGGACUAAGGGACGGAGCAGUAGGGAAUCGGCGGCAACGGUGGGGAGCCUGGCGGAGCAAGCCGAAGUGAGUUGUGAAGGCGCUGCGAUCGUAAAGACCUGUUAUUAGGGAAGAACAUAUGUGUAAGUAACUGUGGACAUAUUGACGGUAACUAAUCAGAAAGCAACGGCUAACUACGUG
rnacentral:rRNA from 1 species